rnacentral:rRNA from 1 species
UACAGGGGGUGCAAACGUUGCUCGGAAUUAUUGGGCGUAAAGCGCGCGUAGGCGGCCGCUUAAGUCGGAUGUGAAAGCCCUGGCUCAACUGGGGAAGUGCACCCGAAACUGAGUGGCUUGAGUACUAAAGAGGGUCGCGGAAUUCCCGGUGUAGAGGUGAAAUUCGUAGAUAUCGGGAGGAACACCGGUGGCGAAGGCGGCGACCUGGGUAGAUACUGACGCUGAGGUGCGAAAGCGUGGGAGCAACAGG